AAGUAGCGUAAUCACUUGUUCUUUAAAUAGGGACUAGUAUCAAAGGCACCACGAGGGCCAUACUGUCUCCUUUCUCCAAUCAGUGAAACUGAUCUCCCCGUGAAGAAGCGGGGAUAUAAUUAUAAGACGAGAAGACCCCAUGGAGCUUUAAGCAAUGUAUUCACCCUUUUGUUUUUAUAACAACAUAACAAUAAUCCUGAACACUAGCUUUGGGUUGGGGGGACCGCGGAGUAUAACAUAACCUCCACGACAAACGGGCCACGCCCUUAUCCACGAGUUACAACUCCAAGAAUCAAUAAACUGAUGUUUUAUGACCCGAUAAUUCGAUCAACGAACCAAGUUACCCUGGGGAUAACAGCGCAAUCUACUUCAAGAGCUCCUAUCGACAAGUAGGUUUACGACCUCGAUGUUGGAUUAGGGUAUCCUAGUGGUGCAGCCGCUACUAAUGGUUCGUUUG
rnacentral:rRNA from 1 species